CAUUAAGGCAGUUCACAGAAAAAAAAACUUGUCCCCUUUACUCCCGUUACGAAGCAUGGUGUUCUGAUGUGGAAUACCAACACCAACCAAAUUGCAAAACCAUAACAGACCCAUAUACCCCAUACAGGUCCCACUACCCCAUAUGGUCCCCAUAGACCCCAUACAAGACCCAAAACCCCAUAUAGGCCCCAUAGAUCCCAUACAUGCCCCACAACCACAUAUGCGCCCCAUAAACCCCAUACAGGCCCCAUAGACCCCAUACAGGCCUCAUAACCCCAAAUAGGCCCCACAACCCCAUAUAGUUCCCACAACCCCAAAUGAGCCCCAUAGACCCCAUACAGGCCCCACAACCCCAUAUGGGCCCCAUAGACCCCAUACAGGCCCCACAAACCCAUACAGGCCCCACAAAACCAUAUAGGACCCAUAGACCCCAUACAGGCAUCACAACCCUAUAUGUGACCCAUAGAUUCCAUAAAGGUCCCAAAACUCCAUAUGGGCCCCACAAAUCCAUAUAGGCACCAUAGAGCCCAUAUGGGACCCAUAGACCCACAUAGGCCCCAUAGACCCCAUACAGGCCCCACAAACCCAUAAGGGUCCCAUAGACUCCAUAGAGGCCCCACCACCCCAUAUAGGGCACACAACUCCAUACUAGCCCCAAAACCACAUAUGAGUCCCUUAGACCCCAUACAGGGACCCCAAACCCAUACAGGCCCCAUAGACCCCAUAUGGGCCCCAUAGACCCCAGACAGACCAUACAACCCAAUACAGGCCCCACAAACCUAUAUGGGCCCCAUAGACUCCAUACAGGCCCAACAACCUCAUAUGAACCCCAUGGACCCCAUAUUGGCCCCACAACACCAUAUGGGCCCUAUAGACCCCAUUGACCCCAUUCAGGCCCCAAAACACCAUACAGGGCCAACAACCCGAUAUGGACCCUAUAGACCCCAUACAGGAUCCACAACCCCAUACUGUCCCCACAACCCCAUAUGGGCCCCAUAGGCCCCAUACAUGCCCCACAACCCCAUAUGGGUCCCAUUGACCCCAUACUGUCUUCACAACCCCAUAUAGGCCCCACAACGUCACAUGGGCGCCAUAGACCCCAUACAAGCACCACAGAUUCCAAACAGGCCCCACAACCCCAUACAGUCCCCACAGAGAAUCACAGAAUGACCUGGGUUGGAAGGGACCUCAAGGAUCUUGCAGUUCCAACCCCCCUGUCUAGCAGGGCCACCAAAUGUGCGCAAGAACUUCUUUACGGUGAUGGUGACGGAGCACUGGAACAGGCUGCACAGGGAGGUGGUGGAGUCUCCUUCUCUGGAGAUAUUCAAGACCAGCCUGGAUGCCGAGCUGUGUGA
rnacentral:lncRNA from 1 species